rnacentral:rRNA from 1 species
GACGAACGCUGGCGGCGUGCUUAACACAUGCAAGUGGAGCGACGAACCAGGGCUUGCCCUGGGGCAGAGCCGCGAACGGGUGAGUAACACGUGAGUAAUCUGCCCCGAUGACCGGGACAACCCGAGGAAACUCGGGCUAAUACCGGAUGAUGAGCCUUGGCGUAAGCCUUGUCUCUAAAGGAAGCUUCGGCCUCCGCAUCGGGAGGAGCUCGCGGCCCAUUAGCUUGUUGGUGGGGUAACGGCCUACCAAGGCGACGAUGGGUAGCUGGUCUGAGAGGACGAUCAGCCACACUGGGACUGAGACACGGCCCAGACUCCUACGGGAGGCAGCAGUGGGGAAUCUUGCGCAAUGCGCGAAAGCGUGACGCAGCAACGCCGCGUGGGGGAAGACGGCCUUCGGGUUGUAAACCCCUUUCAGGAGGGACGAAGGUUCGCCGGUGAAUAGCCGUGCGGAUUGACGGUACCUCCACAAGAAGCUCCGGCUAACUACGUGCCAGCCGCCGCCGUAAGAC